rnacentral:rRNA from 1 species
CGCAACCUACGGGACGCAGCAGUAGGGAAUCUUCCACAAUGGGCGAAAGCCUGAUGGAGCAACGCCGCGUGGGUGAAGAAGGUCUUCGGAUCGUAAAACCCUGUUGUUAGAGAAGAAAGUGCGUGAGAGUAACUGCUCACGUUUCGACGGUAUCUAACCAGAAAGCCACGGCUAACUACGUGCCAGCAGCCGCGGUAAUACGUAGGUGGCAAGCGUUAUCCGGAUUUAUUGGGCGUAAAGGGGACGCAGGCGGUCUCUUAAGUCUGAUGUGAAAGCCUUCGGCUUAGCCGGAGUAGUGCAUUGGA